AUGUACAACGAUAUUGUAAACUAUUUUUUUAAAAUUUUUUAAUAGGUUGCUCAAAAGAUAUUUACAGGUUACGCUCUAUAAAAGCGAAAUUAAUAAUCUUGAACAUAAACUAGGUUAGCUGUUACAACAAUAAGGCUGACCUGAUAGUGUAAAUCGAUAUAUAUAUAAGCUAAACUCCGAAAAAUACCGUUAAUCUAAAAGCUUAAUUUCAUUGCCUUGUUUUCCUUUUUUCUGAAAAAGAAAACCUUAUUUCACUCUCAAUUGACUUAAAAGCAUAGCCAUCAAUAUCUGGAUCAAUAUCCAAUUGUAAGUUUUAGUUAAGAUUUGUUAGAGGGAUUAAUCCCAAUUUCGUAUUGGCUUAUUCAAACUAUACGAUAACUAACAUCAAAAUAUGCAUAUUUUUCUUUAUUUUUCUGUCUUUCGGCAAUUGCUGUUGUAUUAAAACUCCAUUGUUGCUUUUCUCUAAAAAUCUUCAAUCCUUUUGCUUCUUGUUUCUUUCCCAUAUUUUGAUCACUAUCUUCGAAUGGCUUCUCCAAAUACUCCAAUCAACGCUCAAGAGAUGAUUGCCACUAUAGAGGUAGCUAUCGUCGUUCCUCUUCAUGCAACCACCGCGACAAUGGAGGACAUAAUGGUGGAGGAACCACCUAUCCUCAAAAGAAGGAAUAGAGGCAGAAACCUUCCACGAUGGCGGAAGAGGGACCAUCAGCCCCUGUCGAUGCAAGCAGAGCAGUUCCGACCACUUCGUCCUCUACGAUUUUGGCGCCAACCCCUACUAGGAAAGUCAAGGCCGCCAAAGCCUCAUGCAAAGGCAAGAAAGAACAGGAAGAACCGACAACUUCGGAGUUUCUUCUGAACAUACUCCAUCUCAUAUGUCUUGUCGGUUGCAGGAACAAUACUAGAAAGGCUGAUUGAAAGUUUUCUUUUGACCUUACAAGUAGAGCAUCUUUUGGAGGGGUUGAGAGAUUGUGCCUGUGAGGACAAGGUCGAACACCCCUUUCUAGAGUAGGAGAGAACAUUACCACACUCUGGGAAGAUUUGUCAUUCGUGUUCAUCUACCCGUUCACCCUCGGGUUCAAGCAGGCCAUUGAUCCGGUAAUCAAGGACCUUAUCAAGGCAUUCAAUGUCUGCUUAGGUCAGCUCGGACCAAGUGUUGGCAGUUAGUGGCUUGCCUGAGGUUCCUUGCCGAGAAGGUGGGGAAAUGUUUCUCCUUCAAGCAUCUUAUUCAAAUUUAAUGCCCCAAACUUAAAAAUGGUCAAUGUUAACAUUAGCGAACCAUAACACUCUGCUCUUCUGGCCAAUACCAAGGACAAUUGCAACUUCUAGAGAUGCUAAUUCGAGUCGAGCUCAUGAAAGAAUUUAUGAGUAUACCUCGGGAUGACUUUUUAUCUACUACUCAUCUGAGAUGGUACGAGAAUUUUGUUAAAAUACAUACCCGGGAUAUAUUAAGCGAAGGCGAUCUUUCUUUCUUGGAAGAAAAGAAUUUCAAGCGUAAUUUCUCCAUUUAUUAUUUGUUUAUCAUUAUCCCUUUUAGGGAGAUUUUCUGAUUUGUACGAUAAUCAACGACUCUAAAUUCCAUUACCGGCCUGCCCUCUAAUACGGAGGAGUGCUUUGGUAAAGUUGACAACCAUAGAGGUGAUGACGUGAAAAAUGAUUUCUCUAGUCAGGGGAUGGGAGUUGAAGAAUCACGGUAUGAGUGCUUUAACCAAGUGAAGUUUUAAGCGUUCCCGUUUGAUGAUAUUCCUGAAAUACCUCUUUUGCUGUAAUAGGCACUGGAUCUAGGAAAUAAUUAGCUUAGGCUAAGGUUCUAGAUCUCGAGAUGACCCAAGAACUUGUACAUCAACCAUUCUUAGCCAAGAGGAAAUUCGGCGAGGACGUACCUUCUGCCCCGAAUCCCAAAAAAAAAAAAAAAAAGAGUUCUAAAAAGAGGGCUCAAGAUAAUAAGGAGGAGAAAAGUCCUCGAGUUUUGACCCUAAGGUACCUUUCCCAGCGACAAGAUGAGUCCGAGGAAGAAAACCUUCCACUUUUCUCCAAUUUUCCCAAUGUUCUAGUUGAAGAUGAUGACUAGUAGGAAUUACCCCUGAGGCGGAGGUCCAGCAAUGAGCCGAUGGUACCAGAGGAGGAGGAUGGUGAUGCCUCUAAGUGAUCAUUUUGACGAGGUGGUCACAGUUUAUUCGUAAGAGUUAUAGCUCCCGAAACUCGAUUCUAACAGGACGAUGUGAUCUAUUGCUUCAGAACUCUAUUUAAGGUGCCUCCGCGUCCGGAGCCUGAAUAAUCCAUGACCCCUAGAGAAACAGGUGAUGGUAUAAAUUCCUACCGAGGGGAACAUUUUUCGGAGGCCCAAAAAGGUUGCUUCGUGGUUCAAAGGCUUUAUCAAGCCCUUGAAAUGGUAGUUAGUACAUGGAGAAUGCUUCAACAUCGGCCCUUGCUAAUCAUGUGGCAACCUCGAGUUUUAAGGUUAACUUGGUGGCCACAGAGCUCCAUAGUAGAAUCACGAAGGGCGACAUUGUUCGAUGUGCACAUGUGCGGGAGAUCAAGAGGUUGAUGCAAGCCUUAUCAAAGAAGGAUGCAGAGAAAGAAACAUUUUUCGCAGAGGUCCUAGAGUCUUCUAAGAGGGUAAGUCGGUUAGAGCAAGAGAAAGAGGCCUCAGGAAUAGAGUUGUUCCAUCAAUUCGGCAAGCUACACAGAAGGUGCAAAGUCUCGAGAUUGCCAUUAAGAGGAAAAAUGAUUAGCAUAUGAGUUUGGUAGAGAAACGGACUUAUGUUAUCUCCGAGAGCCAAGACCUUGAGGACCGAUCCACGGAGGUGGUCGAGCUUCCGGGCCUAGUGAGAUGACGCAACCUCAAAAUUAAAGAAGAUUAAAAGAAGGCGACCGAAGGCAAACAAUACGCCUACCUGCUAGCUUGCCAAAAGACCCUUCAUGAAGUCUGUCUUGGGCUUUCUCCUUGGAUGAAGAAAUUGCUAGAUAAAUGCCCUUGUUGACGAGGCAAAUCCUUCCAGCUCCUCUACCUCCGACGACUCCAAUGGAUCUAAGGAUGAAGGGGAAAGAGAGGAUGUGGACGAGGUCCAUACUGAAGUCCCCAAAGAUAAGGGUGACGAGAUGUAUUCUUUGCCGCAAGCUCCUGCAAUUAAUGCUUAUUCAUCUCUCCCUUAUUCCUAACAAUCAUCAUUGCAUGAAAUAUGAGAUUCUCCAAGAUCUUCUUUGUAAUAGUUUUUGAAUGAUAGGCCUUUUGUGCCUUUUAUAAUAGCGAAUUUGUUUA